rnacentral:rRNA from 1 species
AUGACCCUACGGGACGCAGCAGUAGGGAAUUUUCGUCAAUGGGCGCAAGCCUGAACGAGCAAUGCCGCGUGGACGAGGAAGGUCUUCGGAUCGUAAAGUUCUGUUGAAGGGGAAAAAGAGCGGAGAGAGGAAAUGAACUCCGAUUGAUAUUACCCUUCGAGGAAGUCACGGCUAACUACGUGCCAGCAGCCGCGGUAAUACGUAGGUGGCGAGCGUUAUCCGGAAUGAUUGGGCGUAAAGGGUGCGUAGGCGGCCUGCUAAGUCUGGAGUGAAAGGUACCGGCUCAACCGGUACAGGCUCUGGAA